UACGUAGGGUGCGAGCGUUAAUCGGAAUUACUGGGCGUAAAGCGUGCGCAGGCGGUUUUGUAAGCCAGAUGUGAAAUCCCCGGGCUUAACCUGGGAAUGGCAUUUGGGACUGCAAGGCUCGAGUGCGGCAGAGGAGACUGGAAUUCCUGGUGUAGCAGUGAAAUGCGUAGAUAUCAGGAGGAACACCGAUGGCGAAGGCAGGUCGCUGGGCUGACACUGACGCUCAUGCACGAAAGCGUGGGGAGCAAACAGG
rnacentral:rRNA from 1 species